rnacentral:rRNA from 1 species
AGACCGAUAGCGAACAAGUACCGUGAGGGAAAGAUGAAAAGCACUUUGGAAAGAGAGUUAAACAGUACGUGAAAUUGUUGAAAGGGAAACGAUUGAAGUCAGUCAUGCUCUUGGGACUUACCUCCCUUGAGUGGGGUCAACAUCAGUUUUGAUCGAUGGAUAAAGGCACUAGGAAGGUAGCACUCUCGGGUGAACUUAUAGCCUAGCGUCAUAUACAUUGAUUGGGACUGAGGAACGCAGCAUGCCUUUUGGCCGGGAUUCGUCCACGUACAUGCUUAGGAUGUUGACAUAAUGGCUUUAAACGACCCGUCUUGAAACACGGACCAAG